rnacentral:rRNA from 1 species
GACGAACGCUGGCGGCGUGCCUAACACAUGCAAGUCGAACGCUGAAGCGAGGCGCUUGCUCUUCUUGGAUGAGUCGCGCACGGGUGUGUCAAGCGUAGAUACCCUCCCUUGUAUCGGGGGAUAUCCAUGGGAAACGAUCUCUAACACCGCAUAACCAUGGAUGACACAUGACAUGUAUUAGAAAGGCGCAAUUGCUCCAUUACAUCAUGGACCUGCGUUGUAUUAGCUAGUACGUGGGGUAAUGGCUCACUGAGGCGACGAUACUGAGCCGACGUGAGCGGGUGGUCGGCCCGACUGGGACUGAGACACGGCCCAGGCGCCUACGAGAGGCAGCAGUAGGGAAUCGUGGGGAAUGGGGGCAACCCUGACCGAGCAACGGCGCGUGAGUGAAGAAGGUUUUCGGAUCGUAAAGCUCUGUUGUAAGUGAAGAACGGGUGUGAGAGUGGAAAGUUCACACUGGGACGGUAGCUUACCAGAAAGGGACGGCUAACUACGUG